GAUGAAGAACGUAGCGAAAUGCGAUAAGUAAUGUGAAUUGCAGAAUUCCGUGAAUCAUCGAAUCUUUGAACGCACAUUGCGCCCCCUGGUAUUCCGGGGGGCAUGCCUGUCCGAGCGUCAUUGCAACCCUCAAGCGCGGCUUGUGUGUUGGGCUUCGCCCCCCCGUGGACGUGCCCGAAAGGCAGUGGCGGCGUCCCGAAUGGUGCCCGAGCGUAUGGGAACUCUCUUCCGCUCGAACCGGCCCAUUCGGCGCUGGUCGAACCCCAAUUUUUUUUUACCGGUUGACCUCGGAUCAGGUAGGGAUACCCGCUGAACUUAAGCAUAUCAAUAAGCGGAGGA
rnacentral:misc_RNA from 1 species